rnacentral:rRNA from 1 species
AUUGAACGCUGGCGGCAUGCUUUACACAUGCAAGUCGAACGGCAGCACGGGGGCAACCCUGGCGGCGAGUGGCGAACGGGUGAGUAAUGCAUCGGAACGUGCCCUGUCGUGGGGGAUAACACAUCGAAAGAUGUGCUAAUACCGCAUACGACCUGAGGGUGAAAGCGGGGGACCGUAAGGCCUCGCGCGAUAGGAGCGGCCGAUGUCUGAUUAGCUAGUUGGUGGGGUAAAGGCCUACCAAGGCGACGAUCAGUAGCUGGACUGAGAGGACGACCAGCCACACUGGGACUGAGACACGGCCCAGACUCCUACGGGAGGCAGCAGUGGGGAAUUUUGGACAAUGGGGGCAACCCUGAUCCAGCCAUGCCGCGUGCGGGAAGAAGGCCUUCGGGUUGUAAACCGCUUUUGGCAGGAACGAAACGGUGCGGGCGAAUACCCUGUGCUAAUGACGGUACCUGCAGAAUAAGCACCGGCUAACUACGUGCCAGCAGCCGCCGUAAAAC